GGGAGCGAAGCAAUUGGAAGUGGUUCCAAGAAAAGCCUCUAAGCUUCAGUCUAACGAUGACCGUACCGCAAACCGACACAGGUGGGCGAGAUGAGUAUUCUAAGGCGCUUGAGAGAACUCGGGAGAAGGAACUCGGCAAAUUGGUACCGUAACUUCGGGAUAAGGUACGCCCUUGUAGCUUGACUGGCCUGCGCCAGGAGGGUGAAGGGGUUGCAAUAAACUGGUGGCUGCGACUGUUUAAUAAAAACACAGCACUCUGCAAACACGAAAGUGGACGUAUAGGGUGUGACGCCUGCCCGGUGCCGGAAGAUUAAAUGAUGGGGUGCAAGCUCUUGAUUGAAGUCCCGGUAAACGGCGGCCGUAACUAUAACGGUCCUAAGGUAGCGAAAUUCCUUGUCGGGUAAGUUCCGACCUGCACGAAUGGCGUAACGAUGGCCACACUGUCUCCUCCCGAGACUCAGCGAAGUUGAAGUGUUUGUGAUGAUGCAAUCUACCCGCGGCUAGACGGAAAGACCCCAUGAACCUUUACUGUAGCUUUGCAUUGGACUUUGAACCGAUCUGUGUAGGAUAGGUGGGAGGCUAUGAAACCGGAACGCUAGUUUCGGUGGAGCCGUCCUUGAAAUACCACCCUGGUUUGUUUGAGGUUCUAACCUUGGCCCGUGAUCCGGGUCGGGGACAGUGCAUGGUAGGCAGUUUGACUGGGGCGGUCUCCUCCCAAAGCGUAACGGAGGAGUACGAAGGUACGCUAGGUACGGUCGGAAAUCGUGCUGAUAGUGCAAUGGCAUAAGCGUGCUUAACUGCGAGACCGACAAGUCGAGCAGGUGCGAAAGCAGGUCAUAGUGAUCCGGUGGUUCUGUAUGGAAGGGCCAUCGCUCAACGGAUAAAAGGUACUCUGGGGAUAACAGGCUGAUACCGCCCAAGAGUUCAUAUCGACGGCGGUGUUUGGCACCUCGAUGUCGGCUCAUCUCAUCCUGGGGCUGUAGCCGGUCCCAAGGGUAUGGCUGUUCGCCAUUUAAAGAGGUACGUGAGCUGGGUUUAAAACGUCGUGAGACAGUUUGGUCCCUAUCUGCCGUGGGCGUUGGAUAUUUGAAGGGGGCUGCUCCUAGUACGAGAGGACCGGAGUGGACGAACCUCUGGUGUACCGGUUGUCACGCCAGUGGCAUCGCCGGGUAGCUAUGUUCGGAAGAGAUAACCGCUGAAAGCAUCUAAGCGGGAAACUCGCCUUAAGAUGAGAUAUCCCUGGGGACUAGAUCCCCUUGAAGGGUCGUUCGAGACCAGGACGUUGAUAGGUCAGGUGUGUAAGCGCAGUAAUGCGUUCAGCUAACUGAUACUAAUUGCCCGUAAGGCUUGAUCCUAUAACA
rnacentral:rRNA from 1 species